rnacentral:rRNA from 1 species
UACGUAGGGUGCAAGCGUUGUCCGGAAUUAUUGGGCGUAAAGAGCUCGUAGGCGGCUUGUCGCGUCGAUUGUGAAAGCCCGGGGCUUAACUCCGGGUCUGCAGUCGAUACGGGCAGGCUAGAGUGUGGUAGGGGAGAUCGGAAUUCCUGGUGUAGCGGUGAAAUGCGCAGAUAUCAGGAGGAACACCGGUGGCGAAGGCGGCUCACUGGCCCGGUACUGACGCUGAGGUGCGAAAGCGUGGGGAGCAAACAGG